GGAGAUCUGGGCGUAUCCAUCUUCGGGAAGGCCGCAAGGAGUCGACACGCUUGUCCUCUUCCCUGCCACUCCGGGCACUCACGGAGAUUGGCUGGUCCGCCCGAGACUGGGGCCGCUCCUGCUGCUGCUCUGCUGUGACGGGCGCGCUCUCCGGAAGGCCGCAGAAGCUGCAGUCGUCCUCUCUCUCCCCUGAGGCCAUGCAUGGCUUCUCUUCCUCUGUUGUGCUGUGCCUUGCCCUCGGCUGGGGGG
rnacentral:lncRNA from 1 species